AUUUGUGAAAAGUGUGAAAUGGUAGACAGAUGCUUCCAGCCUAAGCAAAGUAUACAUAUUCCUAUAAGUACAAAAUCCAAUCCUCUUUAACAGCUUUACCAAUGUCUUUGUAGUUAGCCAAGUAGCAGGGCAUUCGAGUUUCUUGCAAACCUUGUCUGGUAUAAUCUUCAGCGGUGGUGAUAGGAUCAUCGUGGUGUUAGCAGCUAGAUUUUGUUAGAGAGCUAGGAGGAAGCAAUGGGACCAGGAGGACCCGGAGGCGGAGGAGGACCCGGAGGACCAGGAGGAUGGGGUCCGGGACCCGGAGGAGGACCCGGAGGAGGAUGGGGUCCGGGAUUUGGAGGACCUGGUUUUUUCGGUGGCGGAGGACCUGGUUUUUUCGGUGGCUUCUGUGACAUCAUAGGUUCUUGCUUGAGCUGCCUGUGCUGUUGCUGGCUAAUACGAGACUGCUUUGGGGGUGGUCCAUUUGGCCCGCCUGGACCGCCUGGACCAUUUGGACGAUGAUUAGCUUCAACAAAUGUUUCCAUCUUAUGUUUCAUGCUCUUGUAAUAGCUCGGGUUUCCUAUCCUAUUAUCGAAUCCUUUAAUGUAGGGAUCUACCCUCUGUUAUGGGGCUUCUAUCCUAUUCUCCAGCCCUUUUUCUGCAGGAAAUUCUUCUAUUUUUAUCUUUGUUUGCAUGUAUUUCAUCUAUGUCUUGUACUACAGACGCGCGCAAUGAUAUCUAUUUCUUCAUAAAA